ensembl:lncRNA
AGGGAAAUCCAAGACUUCCGGUGCCGGGGAUGCCCGAAGACUUUGGUAAAUGGCCUUUUGAUAGUAUUCGAUGUUGAUUGUCAUGAUUUCACAACACUUCUCCGUGCUCCACAACAUUACUAUCAAUUGUGGGGUUGGGGAAGUUGUGGAGAGUGCUGAUAUGCAUUUUUAUUUUCCAGCUUGACUAUGGGUUAGAUUGCACAAAGCCACAGGAUGAAGUCACCGGUUCUGUCGUCACAACAGUCUUAAGAAGAGCAGACUGUGUUGGCCUGGGAACCAAAUGUGAACUGGAGGCAACAGUUGCAAACUGCUGUCUUUCACUGAUAUGCCUCCUAGCUGGACAGAGGGGAUUAGAUGUCCUUGCUAUGGAUUCCUAUGUAUUGGCAUGUUGGAGUCCACCUCAUUGCGUAGACCCUUUUGAAUCACUACCAGCAGAUGCAGCAUUUAAAGGCUGCAUCCUAUUUACAAUAUGGACACCAGGACAUUGGCACUUGUGUGUAGGUUUUGACUGUCAGUUGUUUCAUCUUUUAGCAUUUUAAAUAGGUGUUGAAAAUAGAUAUGGUGCAGGUUUUUUUUUUUUGUCUGCAGGGAUGAAUAUUCAUCUGAGGGAUGAAUAUUUCAACGUGGAAUAUACAAGAGCAAUGCAUUGGUCGGUGAACAUUUGAUUGAUUUGCAUAUAUUCACAGGUCAUGAAGCCCAAUCUUAAAAGGAUUUACAUUCUUGAUUCAUCCGACCCUUGUGGUUUUGGGCAGGCGUAUUAUGUGUCCAUUUUCAGGUUUUCUUCUAAUAUUCAGGGACUGUUCUUUGUCCCCUGUUCUGUGCGAGGUUUGGGACUGUUCUUUGUCCCCUGUUCUGUGCGAAGUUUUUGGAGGUAUUAACUGCUGUUUACUGUACUUUUUAAUGUUAGGGUGAGGGUAAUGAUGUGAUGGUCCUUGCUUAAAAGAUCCAACACUAUCUCUGUCAUAAAGACUGAGACUGGUUUAUUUACAAAUGUGGCCAUUCUCACAUUCCAAUUUAAUAUUCCUCCUACGCCCAAAUCUGUUGAAAUUCAGUAGUUAGCACUAGGCAGGUUAUAUAAAGAUUGGGUUUAGGGCUAGUCAACCAAUGUAAGAAUGGCAUGUAAAAGUUGAAUCAGGAUGUAUGUGGAAGUGAAGACCAUCUCUGAGCUUUUUCUUUUCUUUUUCUUUUUUAUUGUUUGCCUUCAUGUGUAUGCUUUCCCUCCAUGACAGUAGACAACACGUGUCAAACUUGCUACUGAAACCCAAUUAGCAGGUUCUCAGAAUCAGACCUAUAGAGGUGGAUUGUACAUUUAAAAAUGUUUUUAACUGUGUCUCUGUUCUCUUUUGAAGCAUGAUCGCAACAAAAUUGGUUGCUGGAAACUGGCAUCUUAUUAAAAACAAGGUACAUAGCACUCAGCUUUCAACACUGCUUUCUGAUAACUGCAAUCAAUACAAAAUUUAUAUAGUAAAUUUUGUAUUUUUGCCAGGAUAUUCCAUCACAGAGAGACAGCUUGGACUGUGGAGUGUUCAUGCUAAUGGUAUGUUACAAAUGAAGAUGAAAGUUAACCUUAGCUGACUUUGGGGAUUCCAUUAGUGGCAUUUCAAAGGCAAUAGGUAUAUGAAGAGUAUUUAAGGGAUAAGUAUCUUAAAAUCAAUGUCUUAUGUUACAGUAUGCACUAUACAUUACUUUUGAGUGGCCUUUUGAUUUCACCCAGGUGAGAGCCUUGAAUUUAUAAAAAAAAUUAGUUGAUGGCUCUUUCAGUCUGCCUCAGUUUUUGAUGUUUUUGUUUUUUUUGUUCUUUCCAUAGAUCGACAUGCCUUACAUUCGUGAGUGCUGGCUGAACUUAGUGUUAAAGUGCAUGAGCCAUGAAAGGUGAGAAACAGAUUUGCAAAACAAUGCUGUCUUUCCAAAGUUUUAACUCUCUUUGUUUUAUUUCUGACACCAUUAACUGUGUUAUAGGGAAGCCUCAAGCCUCAAGGAAGACCAAAUGAGCUUCAUGAACGGUUGUCUCAAGGAACAUGGGAUUAUUGCGGUAUAAUGUCUCAGUCACUACCAAUUGUACAUUUUAGAAAUUUUAACUCUCAGCCAGUGUUAUGUAAGUUACUCUUAAAAAAAUAAUAAUUCAUUACUAGUUUCUAAUUGCAUCAGUGUAGAUUACUGUACAAAUUACUUUCUCCAAAAAGUAUUAAAUUUCUUAUUACUAAUUACUUUCUAAAUCCUAUAUCAACCUGGACAAGUUAAUGAUACAAGGAUAGACAUGAAAUGUUUCUUUUAAUUCUUUCAAGUAACUACAUAAAUUAUUCUGUUCACACUUUAGAUUAGGGUCCAAUUCUCACUAUUAACUAUUUUGCCCCAAUGUACUCCUAAUUACUGCUUAGUAAUACUUAGUAAAGUAGUUGUUAAGUUUAAGAAUUGGUUAGGAUUAAGUAUUUAGAGUAAGGUCUUGAAGAAUAAGACAUUAAUAUGUGCUUUUUAAGUAAUAAUAAACAGGCAAUAUCCCAGCA